rnacentral:rRNA from 1 species
ACUCAAAACUCAAGGACUUGACGGUGCCCCAAACCAACCUAGAGGAGCCUGUCCUAUAAUCGAUAAUCCACGCUAUACCUCACCCCCUCUCGAAACCAGUCUGUAUACCGCCGUCUCUCAGUUCGCCUGAUGACAGACCCAUAGCGAACACAACAGCCAACCACUCAAACGUCAGGUCAAGGUGCAGCUAAUGGGGGGGCCAGCGAUGGGCUACAUUUUCUACAACAGAACACCACCAGCCACCAUAUGAAACAUAGGCCACAAGGCGGAUUUAGCAGUAAGCCAAACA